rnacentral:misc_RNA from 1 species
GUGAAUCAUCAAAUCUUUGAACGCAAAUUGCACUCUCCUCGGAGAGUAUGCCUGUUUGAGGGUCAGCCUAUAAAAAAUCGACAUCGUUGCUGUUUCGCGGUGGCGUUCGUCGGAAAUUGGGUCAUCUUAAAUCUUUUGGUUUUAAGCGACUUAAAAUUUUCUUUUUGGUUCCAUGAACGUUUCUAAGACUUAUUUCUUUACACGUUUAAGGUAUCGAUUUUUAUUAGACGUGACAUCAUUUUGGAUUGGGUCUAUUAUUUUUCAUUAACUUA